UGGGAUUAAACUCAUGCAACAUCGUGCUC
rnacentral:piRNA from 1 species